rnacentral:rRNA from 1 species
UCUUCGGCAAUGGAAGAAAGUCUGACCGAGCAACGCCGCGCGAGUGAAGAAGGUUUUCGGUUCGUAAUACUCUGUUGUUAGAGAAGAAUGUUGAUUAGAGUGGAAAAUUAAUCAAGUGACGGUAUCUAACCAGAAAGGGACGGCUAACUACGGGCCAGCAGCCGCGGUAAUACGUAGGUCCCGAGCGUUGUCCGGAUUUAUUGGGCGUAAAGCGAGCGCAGGUGGUUUAAUAAGUCUGAUGUAAAAGGCAGUGGCUCAACCAUUGUGUGCAUUGGAAACUGUUAGACUUGAGUGCAGUAGAGGAGAGUGGAAUUCCAUGUGUAGCGGUGAAAUGCGUAGAUAUAUGGAGGGACACCAGUGGCGAAAGCGGCUCUCUGGACUGUCACUGACACUGAGGCUCGAAAGCGUGGGUAGCAAACAGG